AACCGAUGGAUAGUUUACGAUAGUGCAAUCAUUGUUCUGGCUGAUCAUCGGAAGGCAUUUUUUUUUUUUUUAAUAAUGUGGUUCCAUUAAAUCCGCUAUCUUCUAAAAUGACGACAGGGUUAUCGGUGUGACCCAGGAACUGAGCCCUGCUACUGCCCCGGUGUAGAAAAUGUCUCUGUCAUCCCGUGAUUGGCCCAUUCCAGGCAUGGAGGAGGUGGUGACCCCGGAUUACAGCCAAUCAGGUGUUUAAUGCCGGCUACUGCUUUCGUUUCGCAUUACGUCUUAUUUGGAAAAGUAUGACAACAAAGCAUGAGGCAUUUUCUGGCGCUUAACUGACAAGAAAGAAAAAGGCUUUUUUUCAUUUGGGCGCAAAAUUUUUAGACAAGAGAUUCCUACAAAUAAUUUCCGUUCAUUGGCCUGUCUGACACCAUCUCUUGUCAGACAAAAAUGAAGCAUGGUAUUCAAAAGGGCAGUUUUCUUCUCUGAGUUAACAUCCAGCAUAAGCAAGGGAAAAAGGUGUCAAAUCAGGCUUCAUCUCUGCUCAGUGUCAUGGGCGAUUAAGAAUACAUUGUUGGGAAAUUCUCGGUCUGAGGAGAAGGAUGGUGAAGUUGAGUAUUUGCUGAUAGGGAUUGGUGUUUCAAACAAUGGAAAUACUUGGGAGCCCGAGCAAAUCUUUAUUGUAAUAAUUUCAUUGCAGCAUUCGAAAGCAAAUGUCUACCAUUGAAUGAGAAUCCUGAAAACAAGCUAAGCCAAGAGAAGAAAAGUGUGAAGAAAAAGAGAACUAAAGCAUAGAUUCGAACAUGGAUCGAAAUGUAGUGGCGGAGACAAUUUUAGGAGCGAGCGAUGACGGUGACGAAACUAUAUAGGCUGACCAGAAUUACAAACACAUUGGCACAGCAGUCUUUCAGCGAUCAUUGUUUUUCAAUGCUCAGUUUAAUUUGGUUUAGCAUAACAUUACUUCGGAAGCACAGCACUUCUGGCUACUGUUUUACAUGCCACGUCUUCGUUUUUCGUCUUCUCGGAAUAGAGCUUUAGAGUGUGGGAGUGAAAAAUAUAAAGGCCAUUAUUGGUGUUGAACAAUGGAUUCCUAUCCUAUCCCCCUCAAUUUGCUUGAUGUUCUAGCAAUGGCGUCUCUCAGAGAAUAACCUUGGCAAUUUUGAGAAGUAGAAAAUCCUCUGUGUAUUUUCAUCUUGCCAGCUCAGUAGAGCACCAACUACUACGGUGUGCACUCGUGUUUUUAUUGCACAUGUUAUCUUCGCAGUGUUUCACAGGGAAAUGUUGAAAUUGACCUCUUCACAGAAUGGCAGUUGCACCGUAAAAGCCACCAUCCCUGAUAAACUCUUAAUGGUUAAUUUUUUAUUUUCAGGUUCUAUUAAUUUUAAUGACUGCAUCAGAUUGUUGUCAUUGAUUUUUGUUUUUAUCGGGAUAACCAGAUCGGCAACUCCUUUUCUAUCUCCUUGCUAUUCGGACCGACCUCGCCAUGUUUCGGACAUGUGGAAUACAUUGUUACUGAAGAAUGAGGGAAGACCAAUCGACGAAGAAAGUGAAAAGGUGUGGUCGUUCUAUGCCGUUCACGAAUUGUGAUGCAGUCUGCCAGAGAAAAAGUUUUACCAAACAUCAAAGGAUUUGCACUCAAACUGAAAUUUAACUAGACGUUUUCUUCAUAAACAAGGAUGUAUUGAGAAAUUUCUUGUUCCUCCAAAGCGGUCCAUUUGCUUAUGCAGAACUUGUGUACCAGUACAAGUGGCCAGCACCAUAAUAUAUGGCACAUAAAACUAAAUUCACAAAUACCACAGUGAUCUAAUGUCAACAGGAAAGUGUGAUGAUUGUUACUGCAAAUCUGCAGAAACUGGUGAGCUGUGUGACUGGCUGCUAAGUGCUAACCACUCAUCUUGAGUAUUUGAUCUCAUACAACUGUCAGAUUGAAAAGAAAUGCAGAAUGCCACAGUUUCCUCAGUAUAGAGAUGAACAGUGUAGCAAGUCCAGGUCACCUAACCUGUAGCUCAUGAAAUCUCCAACAACUAGUCAACGUAGAUGAUUUGAACCACUUAUCCAAAGGGCAAUAAAAGUCGACAUGGCUUUUUAAAAAGUAUGGAAGAGUUAACAGAUAAACAUUUUGAUAAAUGUCAAUGACGAUCAAAUAAGUUAAAUUAAGCACCAUAUCUAGGACCUGAUUCCUGAAACAGUGACGUGGGAUAAUACAUUUGCAGGUCAAUGUAUUUAAUCUAUUCGCAGUCCGGCGAUAAACCUGGAUUUGCUUCCUUGCGCACUGAAGUUGAAGAGACUGGAGAUUAAUUCGGUUGGCGUAUUUUGGAGUAAUCCAAAAAUAGGUGGGUACGUGGGUCAUGUUGAAUAAUGGAAAAGCAGAAUAAAAUGAAACUUCGGAAAAACAGGAAUUAUUUGGAAGGAACGCUGUGAACGGAGGAUUUCUUCGAAUGGUGAGCUUCGGCCGUUGCAAAUUGGAUUGUGGACAAAUUGGACGAAGGUUGUCCACUCGGUUGUUGUUGAUGGAAGUGGUCGUUCAGUGAGUCUCCUCCCCGGGAUAUUGGAGCAAAAAAACUGAAAGGCUGUUGGUGAUCGAUCAUGAUUUAGGGAAUUGCGAAAUGGAUGUAUUGAGUGGAAAGAGUGGACGUGAAUAAGGCGACGAAAGAGUACAGCCGCGCAACUUCCGAAUGUUGCAAUAUGCAUCUUACGCUUCCAAUUCCGGAUUGUAUUCUCGCAGCAGGAUGGUUGAGCACGCUUCUCAGCGAUUUUGCUUUGUUACUUCUUAUCUGUUCUAAUAUUUGUUUUUUUUUUAUAAAUGUGUGGAGUUAUUGGCUUUUAAGUUCUAGAAAAAAUUACACAGAGAUGAGUGUGGAGGGGGUGAUGGAGGGUAGUAUGAUGUAAAUAUGAAAUUUAUUUGUUCGGUAGAUUGGGGUAGGUUGUGCUAAUCAAUCCUAACUUGCAUGGGGGUAAGGUUUGAAUAGGAAGUUGGGUCAACUUAGUGAAGUCCCUGACUUUUGUAGGCUAAAGGUGAGUUGGGGAAGAUUUAAGGAUAAUGAACGUUAACAUCAGUUAUCCUGACCCAUGUACCACAUGUUUGUUUCAUGCAAUAGGUAAAUGUAAGCAUCGCGAAAUUGAAUCGCAAAAAACCAUACAAAAUGUGCAGGUAAAAGUAUAAUUGAAUUAUAAUAAUAGCAUUGUAUAUGCAGGUUAUGUUGAAAAUUAACAAAUAUUGGUAAGUUAAACAUAUUGAGGUUGGAUGUAUUUCAUUAAUUUGUAUGAAAAGGCGGUAGUUAAUUUAAUUAUCACCUAGAUAUAUAUAGCUAAUUUACUUAUUACCCUGUCUUUUCCAGGUCCAAUCCACGCAGCAUUUGCUAUUAUUGCCCAAGAAUUGAAAUUAAUUCAUCUGUAAAUGGACAACA